CAUUACGGGAGGCAGCAGUGGGGAAUAUUGCACAAUGGGCGGAAGCCUGAUGCAGCGACGCCGCGUGAGGGAUGACGGCCUUCGGGUUGUAAACCUCUUUCAGCAGGGAAGAAGCGUAAGUGACGGUACCUGCAGAAGAAGCGCCGGCUAACUACGUGCCAGCAGCCGCGGUAAUACGUAGGGCGCGAGCGUUGUCCGGAAUUAUUGGGCGUAAAGAGCUCGUAGGCGGCUUGUCGCGUCGGGUGUGAAAGACCGGGGCUUAACUCCGGUUCUGCAUUCGAUACGGGCUAGCUAGAGUUCGGUAGGGGAGAUCGGAAUUCCUGGUGUAGCGGUGAAAUGCGCAGAUAUCAGGAGGAACACCGGUGGCGAAGGCGGAUCUCUGGGCCGAUACUGACGCUGAGGAGCGAAAGCGUGGGGAGCGAACAGGAUUAGAUACCCUGGUAGUCCACGCCGUAAACGGUGGGCACUAGGUGUGGGCGACAUUCCACGUCGUCCGUGCCGCAGCUAACGCAUUAAGUGCCCCGCCUGGGGAGUACGGCCGCAAGGCUAAAACUCAAAGGAAUUG
rnacentral:rRNA from 1 species